AGCGAACGUUUGCGGCGGGCCUAACACAUGCAAGUCGAACGCACUAGCAAUAGUGAGUGGCGCACGGGUGCGUAACACGUGGGUAAUCAACCCUUCAGCCUGGGAUAACGACUCGAAAGGGUCGCUAAUACCGGAUACGGCGCGAGAGGCUUCGGCUUCUCACGAGAAAGCCACGCAAGGGGCACUGAAGGACGAGCCUGCGGCCCAUCAGCUAGUUGGUGAGGUAAGAGCUCACCAAGGCUAAGACGGGUAGCUGGUCUGAGAGGAUGAUCAGCCACACUGGAACUGAGACACGGUCCAGACUCCUACGGGAGGCAGCAGUGGGGAAUAUUGCGCAAUGGGCGAAAGCCUGACGCAGCCACGCCGCGUGAGCGAUGAAGGCCUCGGUCGUAAGACUCUGUGGGAGGAGACGAAGAAAGACCUGUGAAGAG
rnacentral:rRNA from 1 species